AUCUCCUGCAAUGGGCAAAGAGACACCUGGUAGUGGUGGGUUUUUUAUCAGUCAGGGGCAGAGCUAAUGGCAGUCCUUUGUUCAUCCUAGCUUGAUGCUUGGCUUGGUGACCAAAGCUAUCUUAUGCCUAGGCCUCACAA